UUCCUGUAUAACAGUCUGACAUAUAAGUUCAAUUUCACUUUUGAGAAUUAUUAAAAAGAACAAGAGAAAAAAAUAAUGCUGUCAUUAUUUGGAUUAUUACUGCUAAACAGAUUUGACCUUGUUGGCAUAUAUGAUAUAAUAUUGUGGUUCUAUAAGUUUUUAGUUUGUGGUUUACAAAUAUUUUUCCUCAACAGAAAUAUAUAUUUUUGUUUUAUACAUGAACAAAAGUUCAUUUUUGUGAGGAACCAUAAAAUCUGCAUAAUCUGGUUCCCAAGAAACAAUAAUACUGUGACAUCAUUUUUUUAUCUUUUCCCUCCAACACAUUUGUUUUAUUCCUUCCUUUACUCAUUGGGAAAAAAUAAAAAGAAAAAAAAACAAAGAAAAAUAAAUGCUGAUUUUUUGGCUGCAUUUUAAUUACAGAAGCCACCCAGUUUCUCAGAAUGAAUAUUUCUCCUACUCAGUAUAUACUGGCUGUAGAUGAACGUUCCACAGGUAUGAAUUAUCAAUCAGAAAUGAAUUUCUCCUGUGGUAAUUGAGCCAUUUACUAUAAAAUCUAAUGAAAUACUCAUAUGUGUUAUGGUGUUAUGAAUGAGAAUGUAUUGUGUAUUGUUGUCAGUAUGUCCCGUCAGGGGCCCUUAAGGAGGCUCGCGGGUACAAAAAUUUCAGCAAAAAAUUAAACAAUUGUUUUUUCAUAACAAAUUUUAUUUAUUACACUAUUAGUUAUUACUUUGUGAUAUGAUACAAAAAUUAACCAAAAAAAUCGAUUCUGUUUGGCCCCAGAUGACUUUUAAAAUGUUUAUAUCAUUGAAGAAGCUCCAAAUUUUUUUGCCAUUAAAAUUGAAAUAUCUUUUUUUACUCAUCGGUGACCUAUAUUUUUUAUUAUUGUUUUCAAAUAAGCUAUACAUUAACUAAAUUAUUGUAAAAUUUAAGCAAUUUCUGUAAUUAAGUUCUUUUUUUAUUUCGAUAUUAAUUUACCUCUUUUUCUCCUAUUAGUUCAACAGAAAAAAAGUACCUUUACAAAUAUGUAUGCUUCUUUCGAAGGCAGAUUGUGAGCGUAAAUGAUCGGUGACCCCUCUUUUUUAUUUUAUUUUUCUAUUAGGUAUAAGAUAAAGUUCAUAUAUAGAAAAAAUUAGCGGAAUCUUAUAUUAAACUAGAGGCUCUCAAGAGCCUGUGUCGCUCACCUGUUACUGUAUUUACUGAUGUCAGCCAUCUUGGUUGGUAGGCGGGGUCAUUAGACACUUUUUUAAAUAGAUACCCUAGUAAUUAUUGUGGCCAAGUUUGGUUAAAUUUGGCCCAUAGUUAUAGAAAAGAAGAUUUUUGUACAAGUUACAAAAAUGAAAGAAAGUUGUUCAAUAUUGACUAUAAAGGGCUAUAACUCCUUAAGGGGUCCUCUAACAAUUUUGAUCAUGUUGACUUAUUUGUAGAUCUUACUUUGCUGAACAUUAUUGCUGUUUACAGCUCAUCUCUAUCUAUAAUAGUAUUCAUGAUAAUAACCAAAAACUGCAAAAUUUCCUUAAAAUUACCAAUUUUAGGGCAGCAACCCAACAACGGGUUGUCAGAUUCAUCUGAAAUUUUGAGAGGGGAUAGAUCUUAUUCUGAUGGACAUUUAAAUCUUGAAAGAUUUGCCCUAAAUGUCUUAGUUUCAAAGAUAUAAAGCUAAAACUGCAUUUUACCACUAAGUUCUAAUUUUAGCCAUGUCGGCCAUUUUGUUUGGAAGGCGAUGGCAUGGGACACAUUUUAAAAUUUUUUAAACUAUAUACCAAAAUGAUAAUUGUGGCCAAGUUUGGUUAAAUUUGGCCCAGUAGUUUCAGAGAAGAAGAUUUUUGUAUAAGUUACAAAAAAUGACGAAAAGUUGUUAAAAAUUGACUAUAAAGGGCAAUAACUCCUUAAGGGGUUGACUGACAAUUUUGGUCAUGUUGACUUAUUUGUAGGUCUUACUUUGCUGAACAUUAUUGCUGUUUACAGUUUAUCUCUAUCUAUAAUAGUAUUCAAGAUAAUAACCACAAACUGCAAAAUUUCCUUAAAAUAACCAAUUCAGGGGCAGCAACCCCACAACAGGUUG
rnacentral:lncRNA from 1 species